UUGGAGGAAUGUAUAGCGAAAGCUACUUGCAUUUAGCUUAGUUAAAGCUAAGUUGGUGCAGGAUUGACUAUGUCAAAUAAAGUUCUAGGUGGGUUAUGAUGAUGACAUUUCCUAUCUAUGUGUCUUGACCAAAUUACGUGCCAGCAGUCGCGGUAACACGUAAAAGACUAGUGUUAUUCAUCUUUAAUAGGUUUAAAGGGUACCUAGACGGUAAAUCAAGUCCAAGAAGGGUACUAAUUUUACUAGAGUUUAAUGUGAGGGGGCACUAAAGUACUGAUAAGUGUAGAGAUGAAAUUCUGUGAUACAAUAUACGGCACUGGCAAAGGCGAAAGCAUCUCAUUAUGUAAUAACUGACGUUGAGGGACGAAGGCUAGGUGUAGCAAAAAGGAUUAGAUACCCAAGUAGUCUUAGCAGAAAAUUAUGAAUGUCAUAGGAUGGAAAGUUGUAUGGACAAACAACAAAUUUUUUUUCUAUAAAUGAAAGUGUAAGCAUUCCACCUCGAGAGUAAUUUGGCAACAUUGGAACUGAAAUCAUUAGACCGUUUCUGAAACAAGUAGUGAAGUAUGUUGUUUAAUUUGAUGGUCCGCAAAAAACCUUACCACAAUUUGAAUAGAAAAUUUUUUUUUCAUACAAGCGCUGCACGGUUGUCUUCAGUUAAUGUCGUGAGAUCUUGGUUAGUUCCAUUAAAUUAACGUAAACCCUUACUUUAUUUUUAUAUAGAGUAGUUCACCGCUAGAUUGGAUGUGAUAACAGGGACUAAGACAAGUCAUCAUGGCCUUAAUAUUGUGGG
rnacentral:rRNA from 1 species